UGUAAUAACAAGAAAUUUAGUUCACUACUUGUGAAACGUUUAAUUAUUCGAAUUUAUCAGCAGAAUUUUUUGGAUAACUCGGUUAAUCAUCCUAACCAAGAUCGAUUA
rnacentral:rRNA from 1 species